UACGUAGGGGGCAAGCGUUGUCCGGAAUUAUUGGGCGUAAAGAGCGCGUAGGCGGUCCGAUAAGUCGGCUGUGAAAGUCAGGGGCUCAACCCUUGAAAGCCGGCCGAUACUGUCGGACUAGAGUCCGGAAGAGGCGAGUGGAAUUCCCGGUGUAGCGGUGAAAUGCGCAGAUAUCGGGAGGAACACCGGUGGCGAAGGCGGUUCUCUGGGCCUUGACCUGACGCUGAGGAGCGAAAGCGUGGGGAGCGAACAGG
rnacentral:rRNA from 1 species